UACGUAGGGUGCAAGCGUUGUUCGGAAUUACUGGGCGUAAAGGGCGCGUAGGCGGCCUGCUAAGUCGGAUGUGAAAUCCCUCGGCUCAACCGAGGAACUGCAUCCGAUACUGGCGGGCUUGAAUCCGGGAGAGGGAUGUGGAAUUCCAGGUGUAGCGGUGAAAUGCGUAGAUAUCUGGAGGAACUCCGGUGGCGAAGGCGGCAUCCUGGACCGGUAUUGACGCUGAGGCGCGAAAGCUAGGGGAGCAAACGGG
rnacentral:rRNA from 1 species